GUCUCACUCUUUUCACGAGCCACAAAAACAGGCUCAGUUCGGACUCGUUCAGAGAGUCGAGUCGAGCUACUGAGAGACUGAGCCGGCUCGUCGAGCUUGAGCUUUUUUCCAGCUUUACUAGUCAAUACGGCGCCAUAAGCACACAUAUGUCGAGCUAUCAAGAUAAGACUUUUAUUUAUCAUAUUUAUGCGAGAGGUGACAUAGCGGUCAAAAGGUGUUAUCGUUUUCCAUGCUUCAGUUUAUAUGUAUACCCGUGAGGCUAUGCGCAACGACAAACUCUAAAUGAAACGCUACGCAUAUCGAGUCACGUUUCCAGCAGAAACUUCCGCAACCAUGCACUCUAUGCAAUACUCAAAAACUCUAAAGAGCAGGAAACUGUAUUCCUAGAGUUUGCUUCCGUGCUACUAGAUGGGACUCCGGAUUGGAUCUAAGGCGGGGGCAUAUAUAUUGGAGGCAUGUUUUGCACGGUACAAUAGGUCAACAACUGCUUAUGGCUCACUACUCAUACAAGGAUGUAGCUCUUUCUCCUCCAUUACAAUGUAAAAUGAGAAAUCUGAAACUGCAAACAAUACGCUUUGUUUUUUUCCCAUUAGAUCAUAACAUUGAUUUUAUAAAAAUGCAGCUCAAAACAUGUCACGUUUGGUU
rnacentral:lncRNA from 7 species